GCACAGCAGACACUUUAUUGAAAAUGGGUACCUCUCUAAGUCAGCCAGAAUGCAAGGCAAAGUCAGAGCAACAGGUUGAGAGACUUCAGUGGGUAUUUAAAACCUAACUGCUCCUUUCCACAGAAAGAUGUCUUAAUUAACUAUUUAUUCACUCUUUUUAGUGGCUUUAAACACAUUAAUAUAACCUAACAGCCUUCUUACAUAGAAAAUGGGAAAUAACUCAUUUGAAGUCAGGUUGUUCUAAUGUCUUCUAUCCUGGCAAAGCAGCUACAGUCACUGUGCAGACAACUUGCUGAACAUUGUCUUCCAGAAUGUCCACCUGAUAAUCUGAUUGAGUAGUAUGAAUGCUGUUUCCUCCUACUGACCAGGAUUCCUACCUUGAUGAAGAUUCUGGGAAGAAAAUUAAGUUGGGAGAAGGAAGAUGCUUAUGGAGAAGAGCAUGAAAAAGACAGAAGUAUUAACUCUUGGAGAAAAACAGAAGCAUCUACAGCAGAAUAACAUCAGUACUUUUAAGACUGCACAAUCCAGACCGCAACGUGAAUGUAAAAAUGAGCACUUUUCAAAUUCAAGCUGGAAAAGGUUCCCAGCCUUCUCUUAAACAUAAAGCAGGCGAUGCGAAGUAUGACAUUAUAUGAGAGUCAGGUACUGUAAUUAAUAGCAGCAGCCUUCCUCUUGGGUUUUUAAUAAAUAUUUCUGUAAAAUAUAAUAAAAACUGCAGUGUGAUC